rnacentral:rRNA from 1 species
AUUGAACGCUGGCGGCAUGCCUUACACAUGCAAGUCGAACGGCAGCACGGGAGCAAUCCUGGUGGCGAGUGGCGAACGGGUGAGUAAUAUAUCGGAACGUGCCCAGUGAUGGGGGAUAGCCCGGCGAAAGCCGGAUUAAUACCGCAUACGACCUACGGGUGAAAGCAGGGGAUCGCAAGACCUUGCGUCAUUGGAGCGGCCGAUAUCAGAUUAGCUUGNGGUGGGGUAAAAGCCUACCAAGGCGACGAUCUGUAGCUGGUCUGAGAGGACGACCAGCCACACUGGGACUGAGACACGGCCCAGACUCCUACGGGAGGCAGCAGUGGGGAAUUUUGGUACAAUGGGCGCAAGCCUGAUCCAGCCAUGCCGCGUGCGGGAAGAAGGCCUCGGUUGGUAA